rnacentral:rRNA from 1 species
GACGUAGGGUGCGAGCGUUGUCCGGAUUUAUUGGGCGUAAAGAGCUCGUAGGCGGCUCGUCGCGUCGACCGUGAAAACCCGCGGCUUAACUGCGGGCUUGCGGUUGAUACGGGCGGGCUAGAGUUCGGUAGGGGAGACUGGAAUUCCUGGUGUAGCGGUGAAAUGCGCAGAUAUCAGGAGGAACACCGGUGGCGAAGGCGGGUCUUUGGGCCGAUACUGACGCUGAGGAGCGAAAGCGUGGGGAGCGAACAGG